rnacentral:rRNA from 1 species
AUUCCAAUCGAACUCGGAGAUAGCUGGUUCUCCCCGAAAUAGCUUUAGGGCUAGCCUCGAUUUAGAUUACCGGGGGUAGAGCACUGAAUGGGCUAGGGGGCCACAAAGCUUACCGAACCCUAUCAAACUUCGAAUACCGGAUAAUUGAUGAACGGGAGUCAGACGGCGGGAGAUAAGUUUCGUCGUCAAAAGGGAAACAGCCCAGAUCUACGACUAAGGUCCCGAAAUCACAGUUAAGUGGAAAAGGAUGUGCAGUUGCACAGACAACCAGGAUGUUGGCUUAGAAGCAGCCACUCAUUUAAAGAGUGCGUAAUAGCUCACUGGUCGAGUGAUUGUGCGCCGAAAAUGUACCGGGGCUAAACUGUGUACCGAAGUCUAGGGAUCGUGAUAAACGAUCGGUAGGGGAGCAACGUGUGCGGGCUGAAGCCGAAGCGAAAGCGACGGUGGACUGCACGGGAGAGAGAAUGCCGGCAUGAGUAGCGAGAGCAAAGUGAGAAUCUUUGCCGUCGAAAGCCUAAGGUUUCCUGAGGAAGGCUCGUCCUCUCAGGGUAAGUCAGGACCUAAGCCGAGGACAAAAGUCGUAGGCGAUGGACAACUGGUUGAUAUUCCAGUACCACCUUUAGCGUUUGACUGAAGCAGUGACACAGAAGGAUAGACAGAGCGCGUGACUGGUAGAGCGCGUCCAAGCGAUGAGGGAGUUAAGUAGUGAAGCACGCUUAACAAUCCUGGGUCGUGAUGGGGACUGAAAAUAAGUAGGGAAGCUGUUGAAUUCACGCUGGCGAGAAAAGCUGCUAAGGAGCGAAAGGGUGCCUGUACCGCAAACCGACACAGGUAGGCGAGGAGAGAAUCCUAAGACGAGCGGGAGAACCCAUGUUAAGGAACUCGGCAAAAUGACCCUGUAACUUCGGGAUAAAGGGAGCCACGAGAGUGGCCGCAGAGAAUAGGCCCAAGCGACUGUUUACCAAAAACACAGGUCUGUGCGAAGUAGAGAUACGACGUAUACGGGCUGACGCCUGCCCAGUGCCGGAAGGUUAAGGGGAAGUGUUAGGGCAACCGAAGCACGGAACUUAAGCCCCGGUGAACGGCGGCCGUAACUAUAACGGUCCUAAGGUAGCGAAAUUCCUUGUCGGGUAAGUUCCGACCCGCACGAAUGGCGUAACGACUUGGGCACUGUCUCAACAUGGGACCCGGCGAAAUUGUAGUAUGUGUGAAGAUGCACAUUACCCGCGAUAGGACGGAAAGACCCCGUAGAGCUUUACUGUAGUUUAACAUUGGAUUUCGGUAACAUAUGUACAGGAUAGGUGGGAGGCGAAGAACCAGGGACGCCAGUUUCUGGGGAGCCGACCUUGGGAUACCACUCUUGUGUUAUUGGAGUUCUAACGAAUUGCCGUGAACCGGGAUUCGGACAGUGUUAGAUGGGCAGUUUGACUGGGGCGGUCGCCUCCUAAAGAGUAACGGAGGCGUCCAAAGGUUCCCUCAGAAUGGUUGGAAACCAUUCGCAGAGUGUAAAGGCAGAAGGGAGCUUGACUGCGAGACCGACAGGUCGAGCAGGUGCGAAAGCAGGGCUUAGUGAUCCGGCGGUAUGAGAGUGGAAUUGCCGUCGCUCAACGGAUAAAAGCUACCCUGGGGAUAACAGGCUGAUCUCCCCCA